UUCCCAGACCUUCUAAUCGAAGCUGGGCCAGCCCCGUUUCCAGGCAGCGGGGGGAGCCGGCGGCAGGCAUAUCUCAACACUCCACAAGUGAGCAGCUCCUCCCAGCCUCCCCGCCAGACCCCCUGCCCCACGGUCCUCCUUUUGCCAGCUGCCCUCGGAGGACAGAAGUCACCCCAGGGGACACCAGGUGGGCAGGGUGGCCCUGAGUUUAGCUGAGGUUUAACACCCGCCUGGAGGGCAGGUGCGCCAGGCUGCUCUCCGACAAAGCACCUUCCCUGCGCGGGAAGGGCCCCUCAGCUUUCCACGGCCCCAGACAAUGCUGAGAAGCCCACUUUUUGCGAGUCGCUCAAGGUUUGGGACCCUCCUCCGCAGCUCACAUUCAAACCACAUCGUGCACACCUGUGCGGUGGGCUGGGAGGCAGGAGACAUCAGGCCGCACAGCUGAGAGCCCCUACCCUGUGCACCCUCUCUGAAGAGGGAGCAAAGAGGCGCUAAGACCUGGGCCCCCUCCCUCUCCGCUCACGCCUCCCGAAAGGGUAAGGAGGAAAAUUACCUUUCAGCCUGGGCCAGCCUGGACGGCUGGUGUCAUCGCCUGCAUUCCCUGGGGUGUUCAUCGGGGUGACACUGAACGCUCAAGGUCAGGGUCUGGCCUGCCUCCUGUACUCAGCACUGAGGCCCCCUCACCCGCGGGUUUGAUUUUGACGAGACGAGGAGGCAAAUGGGAAAACAUCACGCUCUUCCUCAGCGUGGGCUGACAUGGGAAACUCUGGUGGCAUAGAUGCGUUCCCUGCGUAUUAUGUCAUUCCCUCGAUCUCCACGAAUGACUCUCCAAGGCAAGUGUCAAUGUCUUGAAGACACCCUGCAACUCAUAGCUCCAGCAUCCCUGAGGCUGAAGGGAGGAGAUCUCGUUGCUUCUCAUCUGUUACCCAGGAAAGAGAACCCAAGUGGUUCCUUAAAAUUCAUCGGUUUCAACAAGUUAGCUUAACUACACAGAUUCUGAAUUACUCAACUUCGGAGUCGCCUAAACAUUUGAAAUCUGAAUGCCCUUGUUAGGAAGAUGGAAAUCUUAAGAAGCUGCCCCUUUGGCGUUAUCAGUAGGUCCCUAAUUCUGGACCUUCUGUGUUUAAGCCCACGAUUCCCGAACUGUGGCUUGAGGUACCCCGAGGCCCACAGCAAACUCAGGGAAGCACUGAAGAGUAUUUUGUAUCUUGGAGCAGUUCCUGACAUCCGUUAGACAUCACACAAACCACGUGCUUUGUGGUCGUUCCUUCCUGCAACAGUAGAUUGUGCUACAUUCCUUUCAAUGACAUCUUACCCUCGCAAAGCGGGGUUCGGGGGUUCAGCGAUAACGGGCAGAUGAAGUGUGAAAGUCACUGUGAGACAGGAAACGAAGAUGUUAGUGUCCAAUCCGAUGCCAGGAUCAGAGAAGCUGCAUAGCACCCAAAAGGCUCACAUGCUGUUCGCUGUAUUUAUUCAAGAAUGAGAUAAAAAUGGUUCUUCUACUUUCAAUUUAUGGGUAUGAUUAUUUCAGGACCUUCUCAGUUUCUUCAGUAACAAGAAACCUGAACCUUUGAAUCCUCAAGGCCUUCAACUCUCCCUGAGAAAGUCUCCUGAAGAAAGCAUCUAGUCCAGCCUCCAACCGAUGAAUGAGACCCCUCUGCCGAAUCCCAGCAACGCUCUAAUCUCCUGCUGUCAAACAAGGGAGGGGGGCCACGGGGCGUGGGAAGCACAUGAGCAGAGAACGACCUGGGUUCAAGCCCUGAUUCUGCCACAUAUUCCUGCUGGUCCCUACAUAAGUCACUUAAGAUGUCUCAACCUCAAUUUCCUCAUCUCUCCCCUUCAACUGAGAUGUUGUUUGUUCAACCCAGAAAAAAGGUAGGUGAAGUGUCCAACAUCCGUCAUAGUAAACGCUCAGCAAAGUCUAACAUUUAAAUGA